rnacentral:lncRNA from 1 species
CUAUUAACUUCUUUUUUAAACUGGCACACACAUACAUCAUGGACCCAAGAGAACUACAAAGAGAGCUGGACUAUAUCUUCUAAGUAGGGCGCGCACAUGGAUAUACGAACCAAUUAUAAACAAAAGCCACCAUAAGAUGAAGAAGGUCGUACGUGAACGUAAUGCAAUAGAAGCAAGAAACGAUCGAGAUGACAGCUAUUUGCCAGUCCCGUACGGUACCUCCAGAUUAAGAUCAGUUAGAAGUAUAGCACGCAAAGCUCAGAAAAAAUUGGCCAUAAAAAGAGCCCCUACAGUGUUUAACAUCCUCAGGAAUGAUAAAGAACCCUGUGGUAGAUUAGAAAGGUCAGGCAUAUACUAGAUACCAAUAGAGUACCCUGCAAAUGAUACUAAUGCUUCCUAUAUAGGAGUUACAAGGAGAACAUUAGCCCAAAGACUAAGAGAGCACCAG